rnacentral:rRNA from 1 species
AGAGUUUGAUCCUGGCUCAGGACGAACGCUGGCGGCGUGCUUAACACAUGCAAGUCGAACGAUGAAGCCCUUCGGGGUGGAUUAGUGGCGAACGGGUGAGUAACACGUGGGCAAUCUGCCCUUCACUCUGGGACAAGCCCUGGAAACGGGGUCUAAUACCGGAUGACACUCUGUCCCGCAUGGGACGGGGUUGAAAGCUCCGGCGGUGAAGGAUGAGCCCGCGGCCUAUCAGCUUGUUGGUGGGGUGAUGGCCUACCAAGGCGACGACGGGUAGCCGGCCUGAGAGGGCGACCGGCCACACUGGGACUGAGACACGGCCCAGACUCCUACGGGAGGCAGCAGUGGGGAAUAUUGCACAAUGGGCGAAAGCCUGAUGCAGCGACGCCGCGUGAGGGAUGACGGCCUUCGGGUUGUAAACCUCUUUCAGCAGGGAAGAAGCGAGAGUGACGGUACCUGCAGAAGAAGCGCCGGCUAACUACGUGCCAGCAGCCGCGGUAAUACGUAGGGCGCAAGCGUUGUCCGGAAUUAUUGGGCGUAAAGAGCUCGUAGGCGGCUUGUUGCGUCGGUUGUGAAAGCCCGGGGCUUAACCCCGGGUCUGCAGUCGAUACGGGCAGGCUAGAGUGUGGUAGGGGAGAUCGGAAUUCCUGGUGUAGCGGUGAAAUGCGCAGAUAUCAGGAGGAACACCGGUGGCGAAGGCGGAUCUCUGGGCCAUUACUGACGCUGAGGAGCGAAAGCGUGGGGAGCGAACAGGAUUAGAUACCCUGGUAGUCCACGCCGUAAACGUUGGGAACUAGGUGUUGGCGACAUUCCACGUCGUCGGUGCCGCAGCUAACGCAUUAAGUUCCCCGCCUGGGGAGUACGGCCGCAAGGCUAAAACUCAAAGGGAUUGACGG